GGGGGCAACGCUGACGCAGCAACGCCGCGUGAGUGAAGAAGGCCUUCGGGUCGUAAAGCUCUGUCAGAGGGGAAGAAGCGCAGUGUGGCCAAUAUCGGGACUGCUUGACGGUACCACCAAAG
rnacentral:rRNA from 1 species